AGGGUGUAAACGCUGCAGACUUGGUGUUGGAAGCCCUUUGGGGGCAUUCAGUGCCGGAGAGAAGUUGUUAAGUCUGCUACUUGGGAGUACGUCCGCAAGGAUGAAACUUAAAGGAAUUGGCGGGGAGCACCGCAACGGGAGGAGCGUGCGGUUUAAUUGGAUUCAACACCGUAAACUCACCAGGGAAGACUGUUACAUGAAGGCCGAGAUGAAGACUCUGCUAGAUUUUCAGAGAGGUGGUGCAUGGCGUCAGUGACU
rnacentral:rRNA from 1 species